rnacentral:lncRNA from 1 species
ACAUUCUGGGCCACUUGAAGGUGAAUAUUUUCAUCAGAUCUCUCCCCAUCCUGUAAUUUAUAAUCAGUGGAGCUAGUAUGCAGUGCUUUAAGACCAUAAAACAGAAAAUUCUCAUGGAAGGAAAAAUUCAUAAUGUUUGCCAGAUGAUAAUCCAGAAGGUCUACAUGCUCAGAAUGUUGAUUGUUGACCCAUUACCUUCUUCAACAACACAAGAUGGAAGAAGAUAAUAAAAUUAUCUGAAUAAGAGGGUAGAUUUGCAGAAAGGGAUGAAAGAAAGAUUCUACAAAGGAACUUCCCACUCUACUCUGCACUGGUGUGGCUUCACUUCAAGUACUGCGUGCAGUUUGGACACUGGAAUAUCAGAAGAGCUAAAACUACUGGAGAGCAUCCCAAGGACCUGAGGGAACAGCAUGGAGGUGUGUCAGAUGAUAAAGAUUUUUUUUCAUGAAGAUGUCCAACUGUGUACCUGCCAUGCAUGAAGGAAACAAAAUGACAUGGACAAAUGAAAUAGGACCAGGAGACUGAGUGCAAGCAGGUGGCGAGACUGCUGGGUGCUGGAAUUCAUACAAUUGGAAUAGUGUCCCCAACUGAGAGCCUUAGCUUCAUCUGGCAUACCAAGAAAUGCAACCUCCCCCCACCUUCUGCUUGACCACAGAGUGUUCAGUGUGGAGCAGGUUCAGCCUUCGGUCUCCCUGUCAGAUCUAUAAUGUUUCCCAGUGAUGGGCAGGAUUGAGUUAAGUGACAUCAGAGUAUCCGAAAGCCCUCUCUGAAGUUAGUGGGACCACUCAUCUGGACAUAGUUAGUCAUAUGUAUCAGUGUCUGAAGGACAAGUAUGAGGGGUGCUGGGCAAAGCUUGCCAUUUCACAUUAAAACAGUUGUGGAAAAGUGUAUCAGAUCACAAUAUAUUGUAUUUAUUUUAUGUGAACAGAUUAAGGACAUAAUAAUCUGCAGUCAAAUAAGAAUAGAGAAUAAUAUAGUGUUCAUGUCAGAGAGAAAAACAAACACGUGCUGGUGCUGUAGAAAUGCACCGGAUGUUGCUGUAUUUCAGUUCUGCACAGAAAUCUAAAUAACAACUGAGUGCACAUAGAAUACAUAAAUAAAUCAGCUUUCAUUCUUCAUGCAGUUUCCCAUUUUGCACACACAAAUCUCCAUUUUUAGGAAAAUGGAAAAUUAUAAAGAAAACAUAUUUCUUAAUUGCACUUAAGAUAAAAGUUAUUACAGUCGCUUGAAUGUACUUGAAUGAGGCAGAAUGUGUUUGGAAAGAAGUAAAAUGAUAUAAAAAUAGCAUAUUCCUUUUUCAACAUACGAGAUAUUUGUAAUAUAUUAAAGGAAAA